rnacentral:rRNA from 1 species
GGCUUAUAAGUUUGUGGUGGGGUAAUGGCUACCCAAGGUGAGGACGGGUAGCCGACCUGAGAGGGUGAUCGGCCACACUGGGACUGAGACAAGGCCCAGAUUCCUCCGGGAGGCAGCAGUGGGGAAUAUUGCACAAUGGGCGCAAGCCUGAUGCAGCGACGCCGCGUGAGGGAUGACGGCCUUCGGGUUGUAAACCUCUUUCAGCAGGGACGAAGCGCGAGUGACGGUACCUGCAGAAGAAUCACCGGCCAACUACGUGCCAGCAGCCGCGGUAAUACGUAGGGUGCGAGCGUUGUCCGGAAUUACUGGGCGUAAAGAGCUCGUAGGCGGUUUGUCGCGUCGUCUGUGAAAUUCUGCAGCUUAACUGCAGGCGUGCAGGCGAUACGGGCAGACUUGAGUACUACAGGGGAGACUGGAAUUCCUGGUGUAGCGGUGAAAUGCGCAGAUAUCAGGAGGAACACCGGUGGCGAAGGCGGGUCUCUGGGUAGUAACUGACGCUGAGGAGCGAAAGCGUGGGUAGCGAACAGGAUUAGAUACCCUGGUAGUCCACGCCGUAAACGGUGGGUACUAGGUGUGGGUUCCAUUUCACGGGAUCCGUGCCGUAGCUAACGCAUUAAGUACCCCGCCUGGGGAGUACGGCCGCAAGGCUAAAACUCAAAGGAAUUGACGGGGGCCCGCACAAGCGGCGGAGCAUGUGGAUUAAUUCGAUGCAACGCGAAGAACCUUACCUGGGUUUGACAUACACCAGACGCCAGCAGAGAUGUUGGUUCCCUUGUGGUUGGUGUACAGGUGGUGCAUGGCUGUCGUCAGCUCGUGUCGUGAGGUGUUGGGUUAAGUCCCGCAACGAGCGCAACCCUUGUCCUGUAUUGCCAGCGGGUUAUGCCGGGGACUUGCAGGAGACUGCCGGGGUCAACUCGGAGGAAGGUGGGGAUGACGUCAAGUCAUCAUGCCCCUUAUGUCCAGGGCUUCACACAUGCUACAAUGGCCGGUACAGAGGGCUGCGAUACCGUGAGGUGGAGCGAAUCCCUUAAAGCCGGUCUCAGUUCGGAUCGGGGUCUGCAACUCGACCCCGUGAAGUCGGAGUCGCUAGUAAUCGCAGAUCAGCAACGCUGCGGUGAAUACGUUCCCGGGCCUUGUACACACCGCCCGUCACGUCAUGAAAGUCGGUAACACCCGAAGCCGGGGCCUAACCCCU